ACUGGAGAGUUUGGUGUGGUCACUGAAAAGAAUUCUCCAAAUUUCUCCCUCUACCGCUAAAGAACAAGACAGGAUUAGGAGGAAAGGAGGGAGGGAUGAUAAAAUCCUUGAGAACAGUGAAGUUUGCGGAGCACAGGAAGGGAGUUACAGUAAUUAGAGAGCAGUGAAGCACAUGUAGAUCAUUUACUGCCUUUAUUCAAACGUGUGAUGUUUGCGGCCUCUCAAAUCUGUCUGAAACUGAAACAGGCAGCAGGCAGCUGUGGAAUGUAAAUCCCUGCACUGUGUUGAGCUUCAUGUCAAAGCACAAAGAAGAGGAAGGAAAAGAACAGGUCAUGACACACCACAACAAUUUUUUCCUAAUAGCUGAAAAUGUAAAUCCAUGACGAACCGAAGCGACUCUUGUCCCUGUGCACAGUUUCAGUACAGCCAGACGGUUUCUAUGACAACAAGCCGAGACACUCCCUCCCAGGCAUUCCAGUCAUGUCAGCCCCCUUGGACAAGAACAAGUCAGGACCUGGCGGGGCAUUGAUGUGAAACCGUGACAUCAGACACAAAACUGUGGGGAGUUGGCAAUGUAUGAAGUCAUCGACUGGGCCCAUAAUGAAAAUGAAGGUGUAAAGAGCUGCUGGGAAUGUUUAUGUCAUCCAUUUUUUGUGUCAUAUCAACAGCAGAACACCUAGCUACAAUAUUCAACCACCAGCAUGUCCACAGGAUUAAUGAUUACAACCUGAAAGUGGUUGAUACAGCACAUGCUGUAUCUGCAUGCAAGUUCAGCAGGUAGUGGGAGAUCCCUUCAAGGUCACCAUGAGGUUACGCCUGCUUCCUGGUUUUAAUUGUUUGGGGAAGGUUAUAUAUCAAUCCUGAUGCUGCUGCUCUCUCUCUCUCUGCUGCCUGGUGCGACAGCGAGUGUGGCCGGCCCGACGGUGGAGGGUUUGGUGGUAGAGUUCAUCACCUGUGCUUCACCACAACCCCUUAAUAGUGUUUGGUAAAUUGUGCACUUCCUUCACUUGUUUAUUUGCAUCCCUUUUGUUGAUUUGCUGUGUGGGUGUGUAGGGCACUGGAGUGUGGUGAGGUGCUCUCUCCCAGUGUGAAUUUUCAGAUUAGACAGAUCAGAUCUUGAAGCACCUCUUUUUAUAUUUUCUAUAGUUUUUUAAAUUACCAACUUUAAUAAAUUGUUGUUUUUAUAUAUUGACUUUUUAACCUUUGUUGUUGAAUAAAUUUGUAAUCUUGUGGGAAA